GUUAGAUAAUAUAAUUCGUAAAAAAAGAAUUGAACAAAAGCGCAUGCAUUUUCCAUUAAAAAAAGCAUGCAAUGUCACUAAUUAUUUUUCCUUAAUAUCUAUCAAUUAUAUUAGUUAUCAUGAUUUAAUAACUUUUUUUUUCUACAAGAAUAGUGAACAAUAGGCACGUAAUGAAGAUCUCUAUCCACUUUCUCCAAAGAGAAGAAGAAGAAGAAGUAGAUUUUUAUCCACACCUCAUCCUCUGGAACUCGUAUAAUCUCAGUAAUAUUCUCUUGACCUAUACGUAAGAUAUAUAUGGUCACUGUUAUCUGAUAAGUGUUGCCCUAUGUAACCCAUAUGUAUAUCAUAUUUGUAUCUAUUGUAACUAACAGAUGAGGUGGGAUUAGCUAACCCAACUCUAUCUGUGCACAUGUUUAUAUACUUCUUAAUACAACACAUGAAUGUAGCGUUUUUUUUUUUUUUUUUUUU
rnacentral:misc_RNA from 1 species